AACGAACGCUGGCGGCAGGCCUAAAACAUGCAAGUCGAACGAUCUAGCAAUAGAUAGUGGCGCACGGGUGAGUAACACGUGGGAAUAUCCCUUUCACUACGGAACAACGUCGGGAAACUGACGCUAAUACCGUGUAACGUCUCCGGACCAAAGAUUUAUCGGUGAAAGAUUAGCCCGCGUCUGAUUAGCUAGUUGGUGAGGUAACGGCUCACCAAGGCAACGAUCAGUAGCUGGUCUGAGAGGAUGAUCAGCCACACUGGAACUGAGACACGGUCCAGACUCCUACGGGAGGCAGCAGUUAGGAAUAUUGGACAAUGGGGGCAACCCUGAUCCAGCCAUGCCGCGUGUGUGACGAAGGCCUUAGGGUUGUAAAGCACUUUCGUCUACGAAGAUAAUGACAGUAGUAGAAGAAGAAGCUCCGGCUAAAUUCGUGCCAGCCGCCGCCGUAA
rnacentral:rRNA from 1 species